AAACCGUUCAGGGGUAAACCUAAGAAACCCAAAAGAUCGAACGGGGAGAUUCAUCGUCAGCGGCGCUGGCUUCGCGUCGGUGGGCGAUGUCCCGCGCGGUGCCGUUCCUCGGCUCUCGCGCGGGCACGCUACCGUGCGCCGAUGUCCGGCGCUCGUCGUCGUGCACUUCUCCCCUAGUAGGACGUCGCGACCCGCUGGGUGUCGGUCUACGGCCCGGGUGCGGUGUCUGUCACGUCGCCGGUAAAACGGCACGCGGCAAACUCCCGGUCGCCCGGCCGGCUGCCCGGCGGUACGCGCAACGGUAUCAGGCCGCGCCUCGCGCGCGUCGAGCCCGUCGCAAGCGAGCGCCACGGUACCCGGAGGUACGGACCCAGUGCCGUCCCCGGUCCUGGCCCGCUGUUAGCCGCACGGUGUAACCUUCGACAGGCCUCCUCCCGCGCGUGUCAGCGCGCGGGAAUACCGGUCGGCGACGCUACUGCUUUGGGUACUCUUAGGA
rnacentral:rRNA from 1 species